rnacentral:rRNA from 1 species
GCAGCCGCGGUAAUACGUAGGGGGCGAGCGUUGUCCGGAUUUAUUGGGCGUAAAGGGCGUGUAGGCGGCCGUGUAAGUCAGGGGUGCAAACCCGCAGCUCAACUGCGGGACUGCCUCUGAAACUGCGGGGCUUGAGUGCUCUAGAGGGCAGUGGAAUUGCCGGUGUAGCAGUGAAAUGCGUAGAGAUCGGCAGGAACACCAGUGGCGAAGGCGACUGCCUGGGGAGCAACUGACGCUGAGGCGCGAAAGCUGGGGGAGCAAA